CAAAAACAUAACUAUAUGUAUUAUAUAUAUAGCUAUUUCUGCUCAAUGAAUAAUUAAAUGGCCGCAGUAAUUUGACUGUGCAAAGGUAGCAUAAUCAAUUGACUUAUAAUUGAAGUCUCGUAUGAAAGAACAUAUGGGGGUUAACUGUCUCUAGAGCGAUAUUUGAAAUUACUUAAUGAGUGAAAAUUCUCAUAUAUAAAUAAUAGACGAGAAGACCCUAGAAAUUUUUAGAAUUUUUUUUAAAAUUUGUUUUUGUUGGGGCGACAAAGUAGCAUACUUAAACCUACUUUAAUUAAUUUGAUUAUAAUAAUAAGAUAAAUUAAAUUACUCUAGGGAUAACAGCAUAAUAUUGAAAAGUUUGUGACCUCGAUGUUGGACUAGGAACUAAUAGCCCAGAAGGCAAAUUAUUUUGCUCUGUUCGAGCAGUGAUUCCUACGUGAUCUGA
rnacentral:rRNA from 1 species